GACGAACGCUGGCGGCGUGCUUAACACAUGCCAGUCGAACGGAAAGGCCCUGCUUUUGUGGGGUGCUCGAGUGGCGAACGGGUGAGUAACACGUGAGUAACCUGCCCUUGACUUUGGGAUAACUUCAGGAAACUGGGGCUAAUACCGGAUAGGAGCUCCUGCUGCAUGGUGGGGGUUGGAAAGUUUCGGCGGUUGGGGAUGGACUCGCGGCUUAUCAGCUUGUUGGUGGGGUAGUGGCUUACCAAGGCUUUGACGGGUAGCCGGCCUGAGAGGGUGACCGGCCACAUUGGGACUGAGAUACGGCCCAGACUGCUACGGGAGGCAGCAGUGGGGAAUAUUGCACAAUGGGCGGAAGCCUGAUGCAGCAACGCCGCGUGCGGGAUGACGGCCUUCGGGUUGUAAACCGCUUUCGCCUGUGACGAAGCGUGAGUGACGGUAAUGGGUAAAGAAGCACCGGCUAACUACGUG
rnacentral:rRNA from 1 species